rnacentral:rRNA from 1 species
CCUACGGGCGGCAGCAGUGAGGAAUAUUGGUCAAUGGACGCGAGUCUGAACCAGCCAUGUAGCGUGCAGGAAGACGGCCCUACGAGUUGUAAACUUCUUUUGUACGAGGGUAAAGGCAGAUACGUGUGUCUUUUUGAAAGUAUCUUAUGAAUAAGGAUCGGCUAACUCCGUGCCAGCAGCCGCGGUAAUACGGAGGAUUCGAGCGUUAUCCGGAUUUAUUGGGUUUAAAGGGUGCGUAGGCGGUCUGUUAAGUUAGAUGUGAAAUCUCGCGGCUCAACCUUGGAAUUGCCUCUGAUACUGGCCGGCUUGAGAAUAGUUGCGGUAGGCGGAAUGUAUGGUGUAGCGGUGAAAUGCUUAGAGAUCAUACAGAACACCGAUUGCGAAGGCAGCUUACCAAGCUGCUUCUGACGUUGAGGCACGAAAGCGUGGGGAUCAAACAGGAUUAGAUACCCUUGUAGUC